AACGAACGCUGGCGGCAUGCCUAACACAUGCAAGUCGAACGAAGGCCUCGGCCUUAGUGGCGCACGGGUGCGUAACGCGUGGGAAUCUGCCCUUGGGUACGGAAUAACUCGCCGAAAGGAGUGCUAAUACCGUAUGAUGUCGCAAGACCAAAGAUUUAUCGCCCAGGGAUGAGCCCGCGUAGGAUUAGCUAGUUGGUGAGGUAAAGGCUCACCAAGGCGACGAUCCUUAGCUGGUCUGAGAGGAUGAUCAGCCACACUGGGACUGAGACACGGCCCAGACUCCUACGGGAGGCAGCAGUGGGGAAUAUUGGACAAUGGGCGAAAGCCUGAUCCAGCAAUGCCGCGUGAGUGAUGAAGGCCUUAGGGUUGUAAAGCUCUUUUACCCGGGAAGAUAAUGACUGUACCGGAAGAAUAAGCUCCGGCUAACUCCGUGCCAGCAGCAGCCGCAG
rnacentral:rRNA from 1 species